rnacentral:piRNA from 1 species
UUGUCCUCGUGUGUAUGUGUCCUUCUCC